GAUGAAGAACGUAGCGAAAUGCGAUAAGUAAUGUGAAUUGCAGAAUUCAGUGAAUCAUCGAAUCUUUGAACGCACCUUGCGCCCGUUGGCCAUUCCGAAGGGCAUGCCUGUUUGAGUAUCAUGAACACCUCAACUCUUCAUGGUUUUCCGUGAUGAGCUUGGACUUUGGGGGUCUUGCUGGCCUAUGGUCAGCUCCUCUAAAAUAAAUCAGCUUGCCAGUGUUUGGUGGGUAUCACAGGUGUGAUAACUAUCUACGCUUGUGGUUUUCCACCAGGUAACCUUCAGCAGUGGAGGUUCGCUGGAGCUCACAGAUGUGUCUCUCCUCAGUGAUGACAGCUCUUUGAAUGUUUGAUCUCAAAUCAGGUAGGACUACCCGCUGAACUUAAGCAUAUCAAUAAGCGGAGGA
rnacentral:misc_RNA from 1 species